UACGGAAGGCAGCAGUGGGGAAUAUUGCACAAUGGGCGCAAGCCUGAUGCAGCCAUGCCGCGUGUAUGAAAAAGGCCUUCGGGUUGUAAAGUACUUUCAGUCGUGAGGAAGGUGUUAAGGUUAAUAACCUUAGCAAUUGACGUUAGCGACAGAAGAAGCACCGGCUAACUCCGUGCCAGCAGCCGCGGUAAUACGGAGGGUGCGAGCGUUAAUCGGAAUUACUGGGCGUAAAGGGCACGCAGGCGGUUAAUUAAGUUGGAUGUGAAUCCCCGGGCUUAACCUGGGAAUGGCAUUCAAGACUGGUUAGCUAGAGUCUUGUAGAGGGGGGUAGAAUUCCAUGUGUAGCGGUGAAAUGCGUAGAGAUGUGGAGGAAUACCGGUGGCGAAGGCGGCCCCUGGACAAAGACUGACGCUCAUGUGCGAAAGCGUGGGGAGCAAACAGGGAUUAGAUACC
rnacentral:rRNA from 1 species